rnacentral:rRNA from 1 species
AGCGAACGCUGGCGGCAGGCCUAACACAUGCAAGUCGAACGGACCCUUCGGGGUUAGUGGCGGACGGGUGAGUAACACGUGGGAACGUGCCUUUAGGUUCGGAAUAGCUCCUGGAAACGGGUGGUAAUGCCGAAUGUGCCCUUCGGGGGAAAGAUUUAUCGCCUUUAGAGCGGCCCGCGUCUGAUUAGCUAGUUGGUGAGGUAAAGGCUCACUAAGGCGACGAUCAGUAGCUGGUCUGAGAGGAUGACCAGACACAUUGGGACUGAGACACGGCCCAAACUCCUACGGGAGGCAGCAGUGGGGAAUCUUGCGCAAUGGGCGAAAGCCUGACGCAGCCAUGCCGCGUGAAUGAUGAAGGUCUUAGGAUUGUAAAAUUCUUUCACCGGGGACGAUGAUGACGGUACCCGGAGAAGAAGCCCCGGCUAACUUCGUGCCAGCCGCCGCCGUAACAC